UACAGAGGGUGCAAGCGUUGUUCGGAAUUAUUGGGCGUAAAGGGCGCGUAGGCGGUGCCACAAGUCACCUGUGAAAUCUCCGGGCUUAACUCGGAGCCUGCAGGCGAAACUGUGGUGCUGGAGUGUGGGAGAGGUGCGUGGAAUUCCUGGUGUAGCGGUGGAAUGCGCAGAUAUCAGGAAGAACACCCGUGGCGAAGGCGGCUCUCUGGAACGCAACUGACGCUGAGACGCGAAAGCGUGGGGAGCAAACAGG
rnacentral:rRNA from 1 species